rnacentral:ncRNA from 1 species
AACCCGCCACGUAAAACAAGUUCGAAGAGUCCGAAAAGUCACUGUCCCUAUCUACUAUCUAGCGAAACCACAGGCAAGGGAACGGGCUUGGAAUAAUUAGCGGGGAAAGAAGACCUUUUGAAGCUUGACUCUAAUCGGCAGUGUAAGGAGACAUAAGAGGUGUAGAAUAAGUGGGAGAUAUUAGACCUCGGUUUGGUAUCGUCAAUGAAAUACCACUACUCUUAUUGUUUCCUUACUUACUUGAUUAAAUGAAACGUGUAUCAUUUCCUAGCCAUUAUACGGAUAUAUUUAUUAUAUCUUAUGGUAUUGGGUUUUGAUGCAAGCUUCUUGAUCAAAGUAUCACGAGUUUGUUAUAUAAUCGCAAACAAAUUCUUUAAUAAAACGAUGCAUUUAUGUAUUUUUGAUUUGAAAAUUUGGUAUAACUCCAAUUACUCAGGUAUGAUCCAAUUCAAGGACAUUGCCAGGUAGGGAGUUUGACUGGGGCGGUACAUCUCUCAAAUAAUAACGGAGGUGUCCCAAGGCCAGCUCAGUGCGGACAGAAACCACACAUAGAGCAAAAGGGCAAAUGCUGACUUGAUCUCGGUGUUCAGUACACACAGGGACAGCAAAAGCUCGGCCUAUCGAUCCUUUUGGUUUAAAGAGUUUUUAACAAGAGGUGUCAGAAAAGUUACCAUAGGGAUAACUGGCUUGUGGCGGCCAAGCGUUCAUAGCGACGUCGCUUUUUGAUCCUUCGAUGUCGGCUCUUCCUAUCAUUGUGAAGCAAAAUUCACCAAGCGUUGGAUUGUUCACCCAUGCAAGGGAACGUGAGCUGGGUUUAGACCGUCGUGAGACAGGUUAGUUUUACCCUACUAAUGACAAAACGUUGUUGCGACAGCAUUCCUGCGUAGUACGAGAGGAACCGCAGGUACGGACCAAUGGCACAAUACUUGUUCGAGCGAACAGUGGUAUGACGCUACGUCCGUUGGAUUAUGCCUGAACGCCUCUAAGGUCGUAUCCGUGCUGGACUGCAAUGAUAAAUAAGGGGCAAUUUGCAUUGUAUGGCUUCUAAACCAUUUAAAGUUUAUAAUUUAUUUUAUAAACGACAAUGGAUGUGAUGCCAAUGUAAUUUGUAACAUAGUAAAUUAGGAGGAUCUUCGAUCACCUGAUGCCGCGC